UAGUAACCAAAAGUGUUAAACAUAUCAGAAUAUAUUUUAUAUGAAACAUUUUCAAAGUAGCCACCCUAAGUAAAGAGAAACGACAGUCCAUCAUUACUUUAAGACAUGAAGGUCAGUCAAUGCGGAACAUUUCAAGAAUUUGAACGUUUCUUCAAGUACCGUUGCAAAAAGCCAUCAAGCACUAUGGCGAUACUGGCUCUCAUGACGACCGCCACAGGAAAGGAAGACCCAGAGUUACCUCUGCUGCAGAGGAUAAAUUCAUUAGAGUUAACUGCUCCUCAGAUUGCAGCCCAAAUAAAUGCUUCACAGAGUUCACAUAACAGCCACAUCUCAACAUCAACUGUUCAGAGGAGACUGCAUGAAUCAGGCCUUCAUGGUUGAAUUGUUACAAAGAAAACACUACUAAAGGACACCAAUAAGAAUAAGAGACUUGCUUGGGCCAAGAAACACGAGCAAUGGACAUUAGACCGGUGGAAAUCUAUCCUUUGGUCUGAUGAGUCCAAAUUUGAGAUUUUUGGUUCCAACCACCGUAUCUUUGUGAGAGACACAGAGUAGGUGAACGGAAGAUCUCUGCAUGUGUGGUUCCCACAGUGAAUGUAGGAGGAGGUGUGAUGGUGUGGGUGUGCUUUGCUGGUGACUGUCAGUGAUUUAUUUAGAAUUCAAGGCUCAUUUAACCAGUAUGGCUACCACAGCAUUCUGCAGCGAUACGCCAUCCCAUCUGGUUUGCGUUUAGUGGGACGAUCAUUUAUUUUUCAACAGGACAAUGACCCAACACACCUCCAGGCUGUGUAAGGGCUAUUUCACCAAGAUGGAGAGUGAUGUAGUGCUGCAUCAGAUGACCUGGCCUCCAUAAUCACCCGACCUCAACCCAAUUGAGAUGGUUUGGGAUGAAUUGGACCGCUGAGUGAAGGAAAAGCAGCCAACAAGUGCUCAGCAUAUGCGGGAACUCCUUCAAGACUGUUGGAAAAGCAUUCCAGGUGAAGCUGGUUGAGAGAAUGCCAAGAGUGUGCAAAGUUGUCAUCAAGGCAAAGGGUGGCUACUUUGAAGAAUCUAAACUAUAUUUUGAUUUGUUUAACACUUUUUUAGUUACUACAUGAUUCCAUAUGUGUUAUUUCAAAGUGUUGAUGUCUUCACUAUUAUUCUACAAUGUAGAAAAUAGUAAAAAUAAAGAAAACCUUUGAAUGACUAGUACUGUACAUUUUAAAGUGAAAAAGUGCUCAGAAUCACUCUGUACCGUGGAAUUUCCCUACUUGCUCGGCUCAGUCCAGUCCCACAUCCUGUGUUAUCAUUUAUUUGGCAACAUUCUUUUCCAUAUUUGCAUUUUUUGAUAUAGCCACAGCAGUCUUAAAAUGUACUGUUACCUUGAAUGCAAUAUUUAAGAUGUUAAAACAUUUAAACUCCAAUUGAACUCUGGGACAUUUCCUGACAUCUUAUUUUCCUCUCUCUCUCUCACUCCAGUUGUUCUCAAGAGACAGAUCAGUGUGUGUAGAGAACACAUUUGACAAGGUAGAGUUAGGUUUCUACUCAGGAAACAGGUCAGUGUGUGUAGAGAGAACACAUUUGACGAGGUAGAGUCAGGUUUCUACUCAGGAAACAGGUCAGUGUGUGUAGAGAACACAUUUGACGAGGUAGAGUCAGGCUUCUACUUCAUCGCCUUGGACCACUACACCAACGAGGCAGAGGACACCAAGUUUGGACCAAACCUGGAGAUCUUCACUGGUUCUGAGGGAGGUGAUGUGGCCACAAACAGUGCCUGGGACAUCUUCCAGUGCUACCACUGUCUGGAGAACUGCCAGAGGGUGGUAAAGACAUCUGACUGGAGAACAGCCAGAGGGUGGUCAAGACAUCUGACUGGAGAACAGCCAGAAGGUGGUCAAGACAUCUGACUGGAGAACAGCCAGAAGGUGGUCAAGACAUCUGACUGGAGAACAGCCAGAAGGUGGUCAAGACAUCUGACUGGAGAACAGCCAGAAGGUGGUCAAGACAUCUGACUGGAGAACAGCCAGAGGGUGGUCAAGACAUCUCCUGCUACUUCAUCUUAAUUGUGUCAGCUCUGCUGCACCUGAGCGCUAAAGGUGGCUCUGGCUUGCUGAUAACAUCUGAUCUGAUGAGACUCUUUAUGCAGUUUGACUGAUUUUAUUCAAUAAAGCUUCCAAUGCCAAAUUGAAAUAAUUUGAGAUUCUGUAAUUGAUAGACAAUAGUAGUUCCCAAUCACAUAAUUACUAUAAAACAAAUGUUUUCCUCAGUUCACUGUUUGGUGACUGCAUGGUGUUGUUUUGUCCUCAGUCCUCCUUUGAAUGCUGUGUGUACUGAUUCAGUUCUAAACGACCAUCAUGGAGUCCAUCCUCACCUCCUCCAUCACUGCAACGGAUUGUCAGGUCUGCUGAGAGGGUCAUUGGUUGCAACCUGCAUUCCAUCAAGGUCUUUCAUGACUCCAGGGCAAGGAAGCGUGCACGAAAGAUCAUCGCCGAUCCCUUCCAUCCCAUCUUCCAAAGACUCCCCUCUGGCAAACGGUUCAGGUCAUUCACAAACAAAACCUCCCACCACCUGAACAGUUUCUUCCCCGUGCCGUGGCCCUCACCAACCGUCCACACUCUGCAUUAUUCAUUCACGACUAUGCACCUUGCACUAUCAUCCCAGAACUGAGCAUUGCUCUUUGCACAUCUCUUACAUGCAGAAUUUAGAACGUUGAUUAUUUAGAAUGUCGAUUAUUUCGCGUUCAUAGUGUACAUACUGUAUGUUUCAGAGUCAGAUUCCUAUACAUGCAAAUGUAUUUGGAAUUUAAAG